rnacentral:lncRNA from 13 species
UCUCUUUUCCUCUUCCUGUCGGGAGCUCAGCCGGUUUGGAGAAUGGAGCUCGAGUGCCCUGCAGCUGGCCUGUUGUGUGAACAGUGAGCAUAUUACCGGAGUGAAUUUUUCAAUAGGGAGUGCUAAGGAUUCCUCUAGGCUCAAUUAUGGGUGGACAAUAAUAGAUGACCUCAUAAACUCUCUGGCAUUCUGAAUCUACUCCUGGAACUUGUCAACUGGAUAAUGAAGAAAUAUGUUCCUGGGUUCAGAUGUGAUUGUUUCCUGUGCACACACACACACGUCUGGACCUGUUCACUAAAGCUCUGGGUAAAGAAGUUGGAAAGA